GACGUAGGGUGCGAGCGUUGUCCGGAUUUAUUGGGCGUAAAGAGCUCGUAGGCGGCUCGUCGCGUCGACCGUGAAAACUUGGGGCUUAACCCUAAGCUUGCGGUUGAUACGGGCGGGCUAGAGUUCGGUAGGGGAGACUGGAAUUCCUGGUGUAGCGGUGAAAUGCGCAGAUAUCAGGAGGAACACCGGUGGCGAAGGCGGGUCUCUGGGCCGAUACUGACGCUGAGGGGCGAGAGCUAGGGGAGCAAACAGG
rnacentral:rRNA from 1 species